rnacentral:tmRNA from 1 species
UGGUGGAGCUGGCGGGAGUUGAACCCGCGUCCGAAAUUCCUACAUCCUCGGUACUACAUGCUUAGUCAGUCUUUACAUUCGCCUGGCACCUGCGGACGGACACGCCACUACCAGACUAGCCUGAUUCGUUUUAACGCUUCAACCCCAGGCAGGGCAUCCGCGCGAUCUCUUUUGGGUUUGACCUCUCUUGAUCCCCGUCCUAAGAGCGGAGGCUAGGGAGAGAGGGCUCUAAGCAGGUUAUUAAGCUGCUAAAGCGUAGUUUUCGUCGUUUGCGACUAUUUUUUUGCGGCUUUUUACGAGGCCAACCGCCCCUCGGCAUGCACCUUGGGUUUCGCAAAUCCCGUCGAAUCCAGAAUCAGCCCC